GUUAUUAGGGGAUCCAUGGAGCAUGUCACAGCACCAGUGUUUUCUAUGUCUUCUUGUCCACGAUGCACUUUAGGAUUGCAAUAAGAUGCGUGUGUGUUUCCAGAUAAUCACUUUCCUCCUCGCCGUAAACUUUUACUGCCAGCCGCUCCGAGCUCAGGAUCCCUCCUGUUGCCACCAUGCUGCCGAGUCAUCGCGUUGCAAAGAUGCUUGUGACCAGCUCACCACUAUAAAGAGUGAGUCUCGUCUGAAGCAUCUCCUGCAAAGGUUACCCAGUUACUGUCCAGAGUCUAUGAAUGAACUGUGGAUGUG